UACGGGGGGGGCAAGCGUUGUUCGGAAUUACUGGGCGUAAAGGGCUCGUAGGCGGCCAACUAAGUCAGACGUGAAAUCCCUCGGCUUAAACCGGGGAACUGCGUCUGAUACUGGAUGGCUUGAAUCCGGGAGAGGGAUGCGGAAUUCCAGGUGUAGCGGUGAAAUGCGUAGAUAUCUGGAGGAACACCGGUGGCGAAGGCGGCAUCCUGGACCGGCAUUGACGCUGAGGAGCGAAAGCCAGGGGAGCAAAGC
rnacentral:rRNA from 1 species